rnacentral:rRNA from 1 species
UGGGGGAUAUUGCACAAUGGGCGAAAGCCUGAUGCAGCGACGCCGCGUGGGGGAUGAAGGCUUUCGGGUUGUAAACCUCUUUCGCUAUCGAACAAGGCCCGCUUAGGGUGGGUUGAGGGUAGGUGGAGAAGAAGCGCCGGCUAACUACGUGCCAGCAGCCGCGGUAAUACGUAGGGCGCGUGCGUUGUCCGGAAUUAUUGGGCGUAAAGGGCUUGUAGGCGGCUUGUUGCGCCUGCUGUGAAAACGCGGGGCUUAACUUCGCGCGUGCAGUGGGUACGGGCAGGCUUGAGUGUGGUAGGGGUGACUGGAAUUCCAGGUGUAGCGGUGGAAUGCGCAGAUAUCUGGAGGAACACCGAUGGCGAAGGCAGGUCACUGGGCCAUUACUGACGCUGAGGAGCGAAAGCAUGGGUAGCGAACAGG